AUUGCUUCAACAGUGAAAUUUCUGCUCACAUCAAUGAAAACAAUGUUGAGGCAUUGGCAAACAUGGUCAAGAACCUUCUUCGUGAUGGUCCUGUGCCUGAUGGUCUCUUGUCUUGGCAGCAUGUAUAUAAACAUCAUGUUUUAAGUUUGUUGACAAAGUUGGAAGCUAAAGCUGAACCGGGGGUCGAUAUUCAAAGCUCUGAAAGUCUUCAUUGCUUAAUCAGUGAGAUUGAGCAGACUUACAAUACCUGCUGCAAAUACUUAAAAUUUG
rnacentral:misc_RNA from 1 species